rnacentral:pre_miRNA from 1 species
AAAAAGACAAACCCUGUUUUCGUGUCCAACAUUUGACCGUCCGUCUUAUUUGAAAAAAUUGUGAUAAAAAUUAAAAAGACAAGUCACGCAUAAAGUAUUAAUUAUGUUUUACCAUCUAACAAUAAUGAAAAUACUAAUUAUAAAAAUAUUUCAUAUAAGAUGGACAGUCAAACGUUGGCACGGAAACCUAGGGUUUGCUUCUU